rnacentral:rRNA from 1 species
AUGGGAAUCUGCCAGGGUCUGUGUUAUCUUCACAAUGAAAAAAAUAUUAUUCAUGUGGACCUUAAACCAGCAAACAUAUUACUAGGUGAUAAAAUGGUUCCAAAACUAACGGAUUUUGGUUUGUCAAGACCAAAUAAAAACUCACGUACUAUGGCACAACCUAUUGGAACACGAGGAUAUAUCGCUCCAGAAUACGAAAAAGAUGGAACAAUUUCCUUCAAGGCUGACAUAUAUAGUUUGGGUGCCAUAAUCAUAGAAUUGGUAAUGGGGUGUAAGGGCGUCCCUCACAAAAAUAAUGUACUUCGAAGAUGGAGACACAGGUGGAAUAAGCCACCAACAUCGGUACAAUACCAUCAAGUCACUAGAUGCAUUGACAUGGCAGUACAGUGCAGGCAGGAAAAACCAGGACAUAGACCUUCUAUAUCGGAAAUAAUCCACAUUUUGAGUGAACCUGGGAGGAUGAAUGGGAACCCUGACGAGGAAAGCACUUAUCUUGAAGAUGACAUGCUUGGUAUUGAGCCGCUCGAGCUUCCUUUUAGUUUUAAGAAUAACAAGGAGAUGUCAUGGUCGGUUAGGCUAACCAACAAGACAAAGGCUUUUUUUGCAUUCAACGUUGAAAAACAAAGCAAGCAUUACACCAUACAGCCAGACAAAGGCAUCGUGAAGCCAGGAUACAACGAUUGUCUUGUUAAAAUAACAUCGCAGCCACAGGAAUGUGCACCGCAAGUUAUAGAGAAUGCUGACAAGUUCAUCGUGCGGAGCACAAAAGUUACCGGGGAUCUUAGAGAUGAGGAUAUCACCCGAUAUAUAUUCCACGAAGAGGUUCCUGGUAAAGUGGUUGAUGAGGUAGAUAUCUUGGUUGUAUAUGAGAAGGGUAGUCGCAAGAGAGGGCAAGACCCCGAUAUGACCGUCGAGGCAGUCCCCCCCAAGCGCAAGUGCAAGGCCAUCAAAUCUAGCAUCUAUGAAGAUGGCACACGACGACAACUAGAUCGUUAUAAUUUCCAUCCACUAGAGAACUUUUCACACAGGCAACCUACGAACAAGACCUACCUACCGAGGGUCAGCGAUCGAGCCAUGGAUGUCACAAGAGGGGCCAUGGGCAGCCUGCUCCACAAGCUGGGCGAGCUCCUCAAGGAUGAGUUCAAUCUGGACACGAGCGUCAAGGAAGACAUCAAGUCUCUCGAGAGAGAGCUGAUGAAGAUGCAUGUAGUACUCCACAAGAUAUCAGCUGUGCAACAGGACAACCUCGAUGACAUGGUCAAGCGUUGGGCCGGUAAUGUCAGGGAGAUGUCAUAUAACCUAGAGGAUUUUGUUGACGGCUUCUUGGUCCACAGUGAACCUGACUCUAGCAGGAGUAGCUUUAAGGAGCUCACACACGAUUUGUGCCUACUCUUGGAGAAGGGCCAGAGUCACCACGAGAUUGGGAACUUGAUAAAACAACACAUGUGCAAACAAGUUCAGGAUAAGGAGAAAAAUCAUAAAGAAUGCAAUGUGGACAAUCUUGUCGCUAAUGCAGCAGCCACAGUUACCAAGAAUAUUGAUCCUCGCACGUUGGUCCAAUUCCAACGUUCAAAGCAGCUUGUGGGCAUCCAAGAGCCAAGGGAUGACCUAAUCAAGAAGCUCUCUCAAGUGUCAGAACAGGAGCUUAGAAUAUUCUCUAUCUACGGAGGUGGGGGAUUGGGCAAGACAACUCUGGCGAAGGCAGUGUAUGACAAGCUUGAAGGACAAUUCCAUCCCAUGGCUUUUGUUUCUGUGGGUCAGAAACCCAAUGAGAUGCAAGUUUUGCGAGAUAUUAUUUAUAAAUUUUCCAAAGAUUUGAAUACAGCAACCCUGAACAUAAAGCAGCUCGUCGAAGAACUUCACAGAUUACUAGAGAACAAGAGGUACUUCAUUGUAAUUGAUGAUAUUUGGGAGUCCUCGGCAUGGAGUAACAUUGAACUAGCUUUCCCAGAAAGCAAUCUUGGUAUUAGAGUGGUGAUAACUACAAGGAUUCACUCUGUUGCUAAUGUUGCUUGCAGCAAUAGAAACCGUGUUGAGAUGAAAGCACUCAAUGACCAAGACUCAAGAAUACUAUUUCUUAGUAGAAUAUUUGGUAUGGAAGAUGCUUGCCUUGAUGUACCAGAAGACAUCUUGAGUGUUAUCCUUGAAAAAUGCCAUGGUUUGCCGCUUGCUAUUAUCAGCAUAGCAAGCCUUGUAGCUAAAGAUCCUAGUAGAAGGUCAACAUGGGAUUAUGUAAGGAAGUCUUUAACAGCCAUGUUUGAUGGGGACAAUUCUCCUCUCGCAGAUAUGGAGCAAAUAUUGGAUCUUAGCUACAGACAUCUUCCUGAUCAUCUCAAGACAUGUCUGCUUCAUGUUUGUAUGUACCCAGAGGAUGGCAAGAUAGACAAAUGA